rnacentral:sRNA from 1 species
UGAUCACCAUCAGAAGCUUUAUCAGCAGCCAGUGAUGCCAGGUCCCCAGGCCUUACCUAUUAUUGCGUACAUAUGUACAUAUAUAGGACCGGGAACCGGAGUUCGACGCGUAAGGGACAGCAUACAUUAAACCAUUAAAUUGACAAUUAAACCAUUAAAUUGGAGCAAUGGAUCAAGGGGACUCCAGGCCAAUUUUACACCGACACGAUAUACAUAUGUAGGUGAUCAAAGAUAAUCAGGUCCCAUCUGUGAAAAACCAUUUGGUGCUAGCUAUAGAAGCUAUUUAUCGGCUAUUUAUUUCAUAUUGCACGUCCAAUAGACGAGUAACUCCACACUCCUACUCCAAUGUGGAAGGUGGUCACUUGGCCGACUGUUUCUUACCUUUCGUCAGUGAAGCCAGUUCGGCCUACAAAGCCGAAAAGCCGCCACGAUGAUGUGAAAUUGUCAACAGCACCCAUGGCAGUCAUGGCGUUUAUUAUGGCAGGCGUAAGCAGAUCAUCGGUAGCUGAGCGUUCUUAUUCCGAGUGACUGAACGGACAUGGGAUGCCUUUUGAUGGACAGUCACUACAGGCAUAUGUUAGCCACGAGGGGUGUUCCGACUAGAUGAUACUGUACAACCCGUGGAGGAGUUGUCGC